rnacentral:rRNA from 1 species
GUGGGGAAUAUUGCACAAUGGGCGCAAGCCUGAUGCAGCAACGCCGCGUGAGGGAUGACGGCCUUCGGGUUGUAAACCUCUUUUAGUAGGGAAGAAGCGAAAGUGACGGUACCUGCAGAAAAAGCACCGGCUAACUACGUGCCAGCAGCCGCGGUAAUACGUAGGGUGCAAGCGUUGUCCGGAAUUAUUGGGCGUAAAGAGCUCGUAGGCGGCUUGUCGCGUCUGCUGUGAAAUCCCGGGGCGCAACCCCGGGCCUGCAGUGGGUACGGGCAGGCUAGAGUGCGGUAGGGGAGAUUGGAAUUCCUGGUGUAGCGGUGGAAUGCGCAGAUAUCAGGAGGAACACCGAUGGCGAAGGCAGAUCUCUGGGCCGCUACUGACGCUGAGGAGCGAAAGCAUGGGGAGCGAACAGGAUUAGAUACCCGGGUAGUCC